rnacentral:rRNA from 1 species
CACGUAGGGCGCAAGCGUUGUCCGGAAUCAUUGGGCGUAAAGGGCGCGUAGAUGGCAUGAUAAGUUAUUAGUGGGAAAUCGAGGCUCAACCUCGUGGAAGCUAGUAAUACUGUUUUGCUUGAGUACAGAAGAGGUUAACGGAACUCCAUGUGGAGCGGUAAAAUGCGUAGAUAUAUGGAAGAGCACCAAUAACGGCGAAGGCAGAUAACUAUUCUGUUACUGACAUUGAGGCACGAAAGCGUGGGGAGCAAAACGG